rnacentral:rRNA from 1 species
AUUGAACGCUGGCGGCAUGCCUUACACAUGCAAGUCGAACGGCAGCACGGGUGCUUGCACCUGGUGGCGAGUGGCGAAGGGGUGAGUAAUACAUCGGAACAUGUCCUGUAGUGGGGGAUAGCCCGGCGAAAGCCGGAUUAAUAGCGCAUACGAUCUACGGAUGAAAGAGGGGGACCUUCGGGACUCGGGCUUUAGGGUUGGCCGAUGGCUGAUUAGCUAGUUGGUGGGGUAAAGGCCUACCAAGGCGACGAUCAGUAGCUGGUCUGAGAGGACGACCAGCCACACUGGGACUGAGACACGGCCCAGACUCCUACGGGAGGCAGCAGUGGGGAAUUUUGGACAAUGGGCGAAAGCCUGAUCCAGCAAUGCCGCGUGUGUGAAGAAGGCCUUCGGGUUGUAAAGCACUUUUGUCCGGAAAGAAAUCCUUGGCUCUAAUACAGUCGGGGGAUGACGGUACCGGAAGAAUAAGCACCGGCUAACUACGUG